rnacentral:misc_RNA from 1 species
AGCAGCCGCGGUAAUUCCAGCUCCAAUAGCGUAUAUUAAAGUUGUUGCAGUUAAAAAGCUCGUAGUUGAAUUUCGAGAUCAAAUUGUUGGUCGUGCCUCGGUACGUACUGGCAUUAUUGAUUUCUCCCUUCUGAAGAACCACGAUGUCAUUAAUUUGGUGUCGUGGGGAAUCAGGACUGUUACUUUGAAAAAUUAGAGUGUUUAAAGCAGGCUCACGCUUGAAUACAUUAGCAUGGAAUAAUGAAAUAGGACGUUUGAUUCUAUUUUGUUGGUUUCUAGGAUCGACGUAAUGAUUAAUAGGGAUAGUUGGGGGCAUUAGUAUUCAAUUGUCAGAGGUGAAAUUCUUGGAUUUAUUGAAGACUAACUACUGCGAAAGCAUUUGCCAAGGAUGUUUUCAUUAAUCAAGAACGAAAGUUAGGGGAUCGAAGACGAUCAGAUACCGUCGUAGUCUUAACCAUAAACUAUGCCGACUAGGGAUCGGAUGAUGUUAAUUUUUAAUGUACUCAUUCGGCUACCG